rnacentral:rRNA from 1 species
GAGGCACGCCUGCCCAGUGACGUUUAACGGCCGCGGUACCGUGCAAAGGUAGCGCAAUCACUUGUCUUUUAAAUGAAGACCUGUAUGAAUGGCAUCACGAGGGCUUAACUGUCUCCUCUCUCUGGCCAAUGAAAUUGAUCUCCCCGUGCAGAAGCGGGGAUAAGAACAUAAGACGAGAAGACCCUAUGGAGCUUUAGACUGUCUUUGGUUGGGGCGACCCUGGGGAGAUAAAUAACCCCCAUGUGGCUGACCAGAUCCGGCGCCGAUCAACGGACCGAGUUACCCUAGGGAUAACAGCGCAAUCCCCUUCUGAGUCCCUAUCGACAAGGGGGUUUACGACCUCGAUGUUGGAUCAGGACAUCCUAAUGGUGCAGCCGCUAUU